rnacentral:rRNA from 1 species
GUGGGGAAUAUUGGACAAUGGGGGGAACCCUGAUCCAGCCAUGCCGCGUGUGUGAAGAAGGCCUUUUGGUUGUAAAGCACUUUAAGCGAGGAGGAGGCUACCGAGAUUAAUACUCUUGGAUAGUGGACGUUACUCGCAGAAUAAGCACCGGCUAACUCUGUGCCAGCAGCCGCGGUAAUACAGAGGGUGCAAGCGUUAAUCGGAUUUACUGGGCGUAAAGCGCGCGUAGGUGGCCAAUUAAGUCAAAUGUGAAAUCCCCGAGCUUAACUUGGCAAUUGCAUUCGAUACUGGUUGGCUAGAGUAUGGGAGAGGAUGGUAGAAUUCCAGGUGUAGCGGUGAAAUGCGUAGAGAUCUGGAGGAAUACCGAUGGCGAAGGCAGCCAUCUGGCCUAAUACUGACACUGAGGUGCGAAAGCAUGGGGAGCAAACAGGAUUAGAAACCCCGGUAGUCC